AGCCAUGCGGUGAGCACAAGCAAACUAUUCUUUCGCCUUUUACUAAAGCAUAUCGUGUGCUCGCCGCUUAAAGUGGCAUACGCAAAUGAGUGGAGAGGUCCUUAUGUUAUUAAGUGAU